UACGUAGGGGGCAAGCGUUGUCCGGAAUUAUUGGGCGUAAAGCGCGCGCAGGCGGUCCUUUAAGUCUGAUGUGAAAGCCCACGGCUUAACCGUGGAGGGUCAUUGGAAACUGAGGGACUUGAGUACAGAAGAGGAGAGUGGAAUUCCACGUGUAGCGGUGAAAUGCGUAGAGAUGUGGAGGAACACCAGUGGCGAAGGCGACUCUCUGGUCUGUAACUGACGCUGAGGUGCGAAAGCGUGGGUAGCAAACAGGAUUAGAUACCCUGGUA
rnacentral:rRNA from 1 species